UUCGCCCUUAGAGUUUGAUCCUGGCUCAGGACGAUUGCUGGCGGCGCGCCUAACACAUGCAAGUCGAACGAGCGAGAGAGAGCUUGCUUUCUCGAGCGAGUGGCGAACGGGUGAGUAACGCGUGAGGAACCUGCCUCAAAGAGGGGGACAACAGUUGGAAACGACUGCUAAUACCGCAUAAGCCCACGGCUCGGCAUCGAGCAGAGGGAAAAGGAGCAAUCCGCUUUGAGAUGGCCUCGCGUCCGAUUAGCUAGUUGGUGAGGUAACGGCCCACCAAGGCAACGAUCGGUAGCCGGACUGAGAGGUUGAACGGCCACAUUGGGACUGAGACACGGCCCAGACUCCUACGGGAGGCAGCAGUGGGGAAUAUUGCACAAUGGGGGAAACCCUGAUGCAGCGACGCCGCGUGGAGGAAGAAGGUCUUCGGAUUGUAAACUCCUGUUGUUGGGGAAGAUAAUGACGGUACCCAACAAGGAAGUGACGGCUAACUACGUGCCAGCAGCCGCGGUAAAACGUAGGUCACAAGCGUUGUCCGGAAUUACUGGGUGUAAAGGGAGCGCAGGCGGGAAGACAAGUUGGAAGUGAAAUCUAUGGGCUCAACCCAUAAACUGCUUUCAAAACUGUUUUUCUUGAGUAGUGCAGAGGUAGGCGGAAUUCCCCGGUGUAGCGGUGGAAUGCGUAGAUAUCGGGAGGAACACCAGUGGCGAAGGCGGCCUACUGGGCACCAACUGACGCUGAGGCUCGAAAGUGUGGGUAGCAAACAGGAUUAGAUACCCUGGUAGUCCACACCGUAAACGAUGAUUACUAGGUGUUGGAGGAUUGACCCCUUCAGUGCCGCAGUUAACACAAUAAGUAAUCCACCUGGGGAGUACGACCGCAAGGUUGAAACUCAAAGGAAUUGACGGGGGCCCGCACAAGCAGUGGAGUAUGUGGUUUAAUUCGACGCAACGCGAAGAACCUUACCAAGUCUUGACAUCCCUUGACAGGCAUAGAAAUAUGUUUUCUCUUCGGAGCAAGGAGACAGGUGGUGCAUGGUUGUCGUCAGCUCGUGUCGUGAGAUGUUGGGUUAAGUCCCGCAACGAGCGCAACCCUUAUGGUCAGUUACUACGCAAGAGGACUCUGGCCAGACUGCCGUUGACAAAACGGAGGAAGGUGGGGAUGACGUCAAAUCAUCAUGCCCUUUAUGACUUGGGCUACACACGUACUACAAUGGCGUUAAACAAAGAGAAGCAAGACCGCGAGGUGGAGCAAAACUCAGAAACAACGUCCCAGUUCGGACUGCAGGCUGCAACUCGCCUGCACGAAGUCGGAAUUGCUAGUAAUCGUGGAUCAGCAUGCCACGGUGAAUACGUUCCCGGGCCUUGCACACACCGCCCGUCA
rnacentral:rRNA from 1 species